GACGAACGCUGGCGGCGUGCUUAACACAUGCAAGUCGAACGGAAAGGCCCUGCUUUUGUGGGGUGCUCGAGUGGCGAACGGGUGAGUAACACGUGAGUAACCUGCCCUUGACUUUGGGAUAACUUCAGGAAACUGGGGCUAAUAUCGGAUAGGAGCUCCUGCUGCAUGGUGGGGGUUGGAAAGUUUCGGCGGUUGGGGAUGGACUCGCGGCUUAUCAGCUUGUUGGUGGGGUAGUGGCUUACCAAGGCUUUGACGGGUAGCCGGCCUGAGAGGGUGACCGGCCUCAUUGGGACUGAGAGACGGCCCAGACUCCUACGUGAGGCAGCAGUGGGGAAUAUUGCACAAUGGGCGGAAGCCUGAUGCAGCAACGCCGCGUGCGGGAUGACGGCCUUCGGGUUGUAAACCGCUUUCGCCUGUGACGAAGCGUGAGUGACGGUAAUGGGUAAAGAAGCACCGGCUAACUACGUG
rnacentral:rRNA from 1 species